GUCACAUCAGAUUAACCCCUUAAGGACCAAACUUAUGGAAUAAAAGGGAAUCAUGACAUGUCUCAUGUGUCCUUAAGGGGUUAAAGCCCUUUUUGUCCUUUAAAAAAUGAUAUAUAACAUGUGUUGGUGCAAUAAAUAAGAAAAAUGCAAACAGAGGUUGAACACAAACAGCAAAAAAUGCUUGUGUCCUUAAGGGUAGGUCCAGUUUUUGAAGCUGCGUCCUUAAGGGGUUAACUGAAAACUCUCUGGCUGCUGUUUACCAAAACAGGCCUGAUAUAUCUUCCUUCAACAACCAUUCCGCUUUUUCACUCACAAUAUGUUUAAAUAUCCUAAGAACAUCUGUG